GGAUGGGUGGCCGAGUGGUUGAAGGCGGCGGUCUUGAAAACCGUUAGGCGCGCAAGCGCCUCGGGGGUUCGAAUCCCUCCCCAUCCGCCA
rnacentral:tRNA from 1 species